CUUCAGAUGAUGAUCCCAAGCCUUCUGGCGAUCUGUUGGCAAUAACCAUGGGCGGAUCGAGGCCUUUGUCCUUUAUUCACUUUUAUCCUUUGCUUACUCUUAAUCUUUUGAUUUGCCCUUAUCCUUUUUUCCGACGAUGCUGGUGAAGGUUGUGCCGGUAUUCUCCGGAGGGCUUGUAGCUCAGUUGGUUAGAGCGCGCGCUUGAUAAGCGUGAGGUCGGAGGUUCAAGUCCUCCCAGGCCCACCAAUAAUCGGUUCCGCUUUUGGUUCAAAAAUGGCGGCUUUGUUUUCUGAUUAAGGCGCCUUUGAUCCCAGAUUAGCCCUUUAGCUUCCUCAAGCGCUUUGGCUUUUUUGUUGUAGACGGCAAUGCCGCUCUGCGGUUAAAAUAAGAUGCCAAGCAAUGAUGAAUUUUAUAUAAAGGUUUUUUGGGUAGGGCUGAGUUUGUUA
rnacentral:misc_RNA from 1 species